AAGCACGGCCACACCGCCUGGUUCACGCCCGAUCUAGUUUGAUCUCGGAAGCUAAGAUAGGUUGGGCCUGGUUAGUACUUGGAUGGGAGACCGCCUAGGAAUACCAGGUGCUGUAAGGC
rnacentral:rRNA from 1 species